CUCCAGCCCACCCUCCCACCUCCACCCUCUCACCUCCACCCUCCCACCUCCACCCUCCCACCUCCACCCUCUCACCUCCACCCUCCCACCUCCACCCUCUCACCUCCACCCUCCCACCUCCACCAUGCCUUCCCGGACGGCCCCCAACCUCAACUUGUUUUCCACACAGGCCUCUAAAGACACUUUUCCUCUUUUUGUAUAUAAAAUAUUAACCUUAAAAGACGAUUCAUGUCUGUUUGCUGGGUUAAAGGAAUACGUGUACGCACAACACACACACGCACACACACGUGCGCGCAGGGGCUUGUACGAAUCUUGUUAGGCUUUACAAAUGAACUAACAAAAGCAGGUCCCGGAUGACAGAUGGCUACACAAUACCACCACGGGACUGCCAGGUCCCAUUGUGGCUCUGAUAUCCUGUAGAGGGCUGGAGACUUGGAGAUUGUGUAGGGUUCACAAUGUGUCCCAAGCCCGGGCAGGGACACGGAUAAAUCAUUUGUAUGGCUGUUUUUAAUCUUGGGCACGAUCAGUUUCUCGCCAGUCUGACACGAUGUUCGGAAUAACAAACUUUCCAAGGCCACCUCUGGCCUCCUCAGUUAAAGUUUGAGUUUCUUUCACUUUGUAUGAAUGUGUCGACUGUCCGGUCGGGAGAGUUGUUGUUUUUUUUCUGCCUCAAACUUGUACCACCCUCCCGCCCGACUUCCUGUUAACGCGGAGAGGAAUGUUUAGCAGCAGCUCGGAGGUGGCGGCUGUGGGAUUCUCCCGUUGGCGUUUCAGGGACUGGUGCGCAGAGUUCCAGUUAACACCCUCCUUCCUGCAGUGAGGUUAGGUCCUGCAAACGGCUAAUCAUGAGGUUUAGCUGCGUUAUUAUGACACGGGCAUGAAGGAGGAUGAUGUGUUGUAUAUAAAACACUUCAUCGCCUUCCUUAUCUAGAAAACUCUUUCUGCAGGUGCGAUCGGACUACAGGUGAGUUCCAGGUGUCCCCAUUGGUUGAAACCUGAUCUAACCAGAACUCUCGUUUUGAAUGUGUAAAUAGAUACACCCUUUUUGUAUGCUUUUCAUGUGAAGAUGUAUUUGUGCUGGUUUCAUUUAAUUAUGUCUUUGUGUGUGUGUGAGAACUGGUUUGAAGAGUUGACACACAAUGUUGCACAACUGCCUUAAAACCUGCAUACAACGUUUUUCAAAUAAAGUCAAAGUAUUUGAAUUGGA
ensembl:lncRNA